rnacentral:rRNA from 1 species
AUUAUACCUCACGAUCUAUCAUGCAGUCGUGCGGACCUUUUAAAGCUUGCUUUUAAAAGGUUAGCGGCGGACGGGUGAGUAACACGUGGGCAACCUGCCUGUAAGAUCGGGAUAACGCCGGGAAACCGGGGCUAAUACCGGAUAGUUUUUUCCUCCGCAUGGAGGAAAAAGGAAAGACGGCUUCGGCUGUCACUUACAGAUGGGCCCGCGGCGCAUUAGCUAGUUGGUGGGGUAACGGCUCACCAAGGCAACGAUGCGUAGCCGACCUGAGAGGGUGAUCGGCCACAUUGGGACUGAGACACGGCCCAAACUCCUACGGGAGGCAGCAGUAGGGAAUCUUCCGCAAUGGACGAAAGUCUGACGGAGCAACGCCGCGUGAGUGAAGAAGGCCUUCGGGUCGUAAAACUCUGUUGCCGGGGAAGAACAAGUGCCGUUCGAACAGGGCGGCGCCUUGACGGUACCCGGCCAGAAAGCCACGGCUAACUACGUGCCAGCAGCCGCGGUAAUACGUAGGUGGCAAGCGUUGUCCGGAAUUAUUGGGCGUAAAGCGCGCGCAGGCGGCUUCUUAAGUCUGAUGUGAAAUCUUGCGGCUCAACCGCAAGCGGUCAUUGGAAACUGGGAGGCUUGAGUGCAGAAGAGGAGAGUGGAAUUCCACGUGUAGCGGUGAAAUGCGUAGAGAUGUGGAGGAACACCAGUGGCGAAGGCGGCUCUCUGGUCUGUAACUGACGCUGAGGCGCGAAAGCGUGGGGAGCAAACAGGAUUAGAUACCCUGGUAGUCCACGCCGUAAACGAUGAGUGCUAAGUGUUAGAGGGUUUCCGCCCUUUAGUGCUGCAGCUAACGCAUUAAGCACUCCGCCUGGGGAGUACGGCCGCAAGGCUGAACUCAAAGGAAUUGACGGGGGCCCGCACAAGCGGUGGAGCAUGUGGUUUUAAUUCGAAGCAACGCGAGAACCUUACCACGUCUUGACAUCCUCUGACCUCCCUGGAGACAGGGCCUUCUCCUUCGGGGGACAGAGUGACAGGUGGUGCAUGGAUGUCGUCAGCUCGUGUCGUGAGAUGUUGGCUCAGUCCGCACCGAGCGCAACCCUUGACCUUAGUUGCCAGCAUUCAGUUGGGCACUUCUAGUGACUGCCGUGACAAACCGUAGGAAGGUGGAUGACGUCAAUCCUCAUGACCCUAUGACUGGCUACCACCGUGCUUACAUUGAAGUGUACAAAGUCCUUGCGAGAACACCCGCA